UUAUGUUCUGUUGACAGAAGAUAGAGAGCACAACUGAACAUACCCAAGAGGGCUUGUGUUUGAGCAGUCUUGUCCUCUCUCUUCUCCUGUCAACAGAACUUGCUG